rnacentral:lncRNA from 1 species
GCUCCCUUACAACCUUAAUGAUGCCACAACCACUAGACCACAAGCUUCCUUGUGUCAUUUAUUUGCCACAAUAAUUUAAAAGGCCUUCAUCCAAGCACCCAGGGUUUUAUUCACUUAUUACCAUAAUUUUUGCUAAAGCCCAGGUUUGAACCCAAGAUUUCUCCAACACUUCUCAGGGCCAUUAACCACUAAAGAAGACAAUUAAAUGCUUAUAU